AGGGAUUAGCUUGCUAAUUUGCUGACGACCGGCGCACGGGUGCGUAACGCGUAUACAAUCUGCCUUAUACUGGGGUAUAGCCUUUAGAAAUGAAGAUUAACCCCCCAUAGUCUCUACUUGUGGCAUCACAUAUAGAGUAAAGGUUACGGUAUAAGAUGAGUAUGCGUUCUAUUAGUUUGUUGGUGAGGUAACGGCUCACCAAGACUACGAUAGAUAGGGGCCCUGAGAGGGGGAUCCCCCACACUGGUACUGAGACACGGACCAGACUCCUACGGGAGGCAGCAGUGAGGAAUAUUGGACAAUGGAGGCAACUCUGAUCCAGCCAUGCCGCGUGCAGGAAGACUGCCCUAUGGGUUGUAAACUGCUUUUAUAUAGGAAGAAACCUACUUACGUGUAAGUAGCUGACGGUACUAUAAAAAUAAGGAUCGGUUAACUCCGUGCCAGCAGCCCCGGGUAAUACGGAAGGAUCCAGGCGUUUAUCCGGAAUCUUUGGGGUUUAAAAGGGUCCCGUAGGGGGAUUAAU
rnacentral:rRNA from 1 species